rfam:Salmo salar isolate Sally breed double haploid chromosome ssa09, whole genome shotgun sequence.
UGUGUUCACUACUGUAAGUCGCUCUGGAUAAGAGCGUCUGCUAAAAUGACUAAAA